GAGAGUUUGAUCCUGGCUCAGAAUCAACGCUGGCGGCGUGCCUCGGACAUGCAAGUCGAACGCGAAAGCCCCCUUCGGGGGGCAAGUAGAGUGGCGCACGGGUGAGUAACACGUAGGUAAUCUACCUUUGGAUGGGGAAUAACAACCGGAAACGGUUGCUAAUACCGCAUAAUGCAGCGGCACCUAAUGGUGACAGUUGUUAAAGCGGGGGAUCGCAAGACCUCGCGUCUGAAGAGGAGCCUGCGGCGGAUUAGCUAGUUGGUAAGGUAACGGCUUACCAAGGCUGUGAUCCGUAGCCGGCCUGAGAGGGCGGUCGGCCACACUGACACUGACAUACGGGUCAGACUCCUACGGGAGGCAGCAGUCGGGAAUUUUGGGCAAUGGGCGAAAGCCUGACCCAGCAACGCCGCGUGAAGGAUGAAAUCCUUCGGGAUGUAAACUUCGCAAGAACAGGAAGAAUAAGUAAGAGUUAAUAUCUCUUAUGAUGACGGUACUGUUUGUAAGCUCCGGCUAACUCCGUGCCAGCAGCCGCGGUAAUACGGGGGGAGCAAGCGUUGUUCGGAUUUACUGGGCGUAAAGGGCGCGUAGGCGGCCACCGCAGUCGACUGUGAAAUCUCCGGGCUUAACCCGGAAAGGUCAGCCGAUACUGCGGGCUAGAGUGCAGAAGGGGCAACUGGAAUUCUCGGUGUAGCGGUGAAAUGCGUAGAUAUCGAGAGGAACACCUGCGGCGAAGGCGGGUUGCUGGGCUGACACUGACGCUGAUGCGCGAAAGCUAGGGGAGCGAACGGGAUUAGAUACCCCGGUAGUCCUAGCCUUAAACGAUGAAUGCUAGUUGUCGGGAUGCAUGCAUUUCGGUGACGCAGCUAACGCAUUAAGCAAUCCGCCUGGGGAGUACGGUCGCAAGAUUAAAACUCAAAGGAAUUGACGGGGGCCCGCACAAGCGGUGGAGCAUGUGGUUUAAUUCGAAGCAACGCGCAGAACCUUACCAGCCCUUGACAUCCCACGACGGUUUCCGGAGACGGAUUCCUCCCCGCAAGGGGCGUGGAGACAGGUGCUGCAUGGCUGUCGUCAGCUCGUGUCGUGAGAUGUUGGGUUAAGUCCCGCAACGAGCGCAACCCUCGCCCUUAGUUGCCAUCAUUCAGUUGGGCACUCUAGGGGGACUGCCGGUGAUAAGCCGAGAGGAAGGUGGGGAUGACGUCAAGUCCUCAUGGCCCUUACGGGCUGGGCUACACACGUGCUACAAUGGCGGUGACAGAGGGACGCUACUCCGCAAGGGGAAGCCAAUCCCAAAAAGCCGUCUCAGUUCGGAUUGUCCUCUGCAACUCGAGGGCAUGAAGUCGGAAUCGCUAGUAAUCGUGGAUCAGCACGCCACGGUGAAUACGUUCCCGGGCCUUGUACACACCGCCCGUCACACCAUGGGAGUUGGUUCUACCCGAAGACGGUGCGCUAACCCGCAAGGGAGGCAGCCGGCCACGGUAGGGUCAGCGACUGGGGUGAAGUCGUAACAAGGUAGCCGUAG
rnacentral:rRNA from 1 species